AUUGAACGCUGGCGGCAGGCCUAACACAUGCAAGUCGAGCGGAUGAGUGGAGCUUGCUCCAUGAUUCAGCGGCGGACGGGUGAGUAAUGCCUAGGAAUCUGCCUGGUAGUGGGGGACAACGUUUCGAAAGGAACGCUAAUACCGCAUACGUCCUACGGGAGAAAGUGGGGGAUCUUCGGACCUCACGCUAUCAGAUGAGCCUAGGUCGGAUUAGCUAGUUGGUGAGGUAAAGGCUCACCAAGGCGACGAUCCGUAACUGGUCUGAGAGGAUGAUCAGUCACACUGGAACUGAGACACGGUCCAGACUCCUACGGGAGGCAGCAGUGGGGAAUAUUGGACAAUGGGCGAAAGCCUGAUCCAGCCAGGCCGCGUGUGUGAAGAAGGUCUUCGGAUUGUAAAGCACUUUAAGUUGGGAGGAAGGGCAGUAAGUUAAUACCUUGCUGUUUUGACGUUACCAACAGAAUAAGCACCGGCUAACUUCGUG
rnacentral:rRNA from 1 species